AUUGAACGCUGGCGGCAUGCCUUACACAUGCAAGUCGAACGGCAGCACGGGAGCAAUCCUGGUGGCGAGUGGCGAACGGGUGAGUAAUAUAUCGGAACGUGCCCAGUAGUGGGGGAUAACCCGGCGAAAGCCGGACUAAUACCGCAUACGACCUACGGGUGAAAGCAGGGGAUCGCAAGACCUUGCGCUAUCGGAGCGGCCGAUAUCAGAUUAGCUUGUUGGUGGGGUAAAAGCCCACCAAGGCGACGAUCUGUAGCUGGUCUGAGAGGACGACCAGCCACACUGGGACUGAGACACGGCCCAGACUCCUACGGGAGGCAGCAGUGGGGAAUUUUGGACAAUGGGCGCAAGCCUGAUCCAGCCAUGCCGCGUGCGGGACGAAGGCCUUCGGGUUGUAAACCGCUUUCAGCCGGAAAGAAAUACGCCAAGGCUAAUAUCCUUGGUGGAUGACGGUACCGGAAGAAGAAGACACCGGCUAACUACGUGCCAGCAGCCGCGGUAA
rnacentral:rRNA from 1 species